rnacentral:rRNA from 1 species
AGUGAACGCUGGCGGUAGGCCUAACACAUGCAAGUCGAACGGCAGCACAGUAAGAGCUUGCUCUUACGGGUGGCGAGUGGCGGACGGGUGAGGAAUACAUCGGAAUCUACUUUUUCGUGGGGGAUAACGUAGGGAAACUUACGCUAAUACCGCAUACGACCUACGGGUGAAAGCAGGGGAUCUUCGGACCUUGCGCGAUUGAAUGAGCCGAUGUCGGAUUAGCUAGUUGGCGGGGUAAAGGCACACCAAGGCGACGAUCCGUAGCUGGUCUGAGAGGAUGAUCAGCCACACUGGAACUGAGACACGGUCCAGACUCCUAGGGGAGGCAGCAGUGGGGAAUAUUGGACAAAGGGCGCAAGCCUGAUCCAGCCAUACCGCGUGGGUGAAGAAGGCCUUCGGGUUGUAAAGCCCUUUUGUUGGGAAAGAAAAGCAGCAGGUUAAUACCCCGCUGUUCUGACGGUACCCAAAGAAUAAGCACCGGCUAACUUCGUG